UAANUCCGGGAAACGUAAGCUAAAACCGGAUAGUUCCUUGAACCGCANGGUUCAAGGAUGAAAGACGGUUUCGGCUGUCACUUACAGAUGGACCCGCGGCGCAUUAGCUAGUUGGUGAGGUAACGGCUCACCAAGGCGACGAUGCGUAGCCGACCUGAGAGGGUGAUCGGCCACACUGGGACUGAGACACGGCCCAGACUCCUACGGGAGGCAGCAGUAGGGAAUCUUCCGCAAUGGACGAAAGUCUGACGGAGCAACGCCGCGUGAGUGAUGAAGGUUUUCGGAUCGUAAAGCUCUGUUGUUAGGGAAAAACAAGUGCAAGAGUAACUGCUUGCACCUUGACGGUACCUAACCAGAAAGCCACGGCUAACUACGUGCCAGCAGCCGCGGUAAUACGUAGGUGGCAAGCGUUGUCCGGAAUUAUUGGGCGUAAAGGGCUCGCAGGCGGUUUCUUAAGUCUGAUGUGAAAGCCCCCGGCUCAACCGGGGAGGGUCAUUGGAAACUGGGAAACUUGAGUGCAGAAGAGGAGAGUGGAAUUCCACGUGUAGCGGUGAAAUGCGUAGAGAUGUGGAGGAACACCAGUGGCGAAGGCGACUCUCUGGUCUGUAACUGACGCUGAGGAGCGAAAGCGUGGGGAGCGAACAGGAUUAGAUACCCUGGUAGUCCACGCCGUAAACGAUGAGUGCUAAGUGUUAGGGGGUUUCCGCCCCUUAGUGCUGCAGCUAACGCAUUAAGCACUCCGCCUGGGGAGUACGGUCGCAAGACUGAAACUCAAAGGAAUUGACGGGGGCCCGCACAAGCGGUGGAGCAUGUGGUUUAAUUCGAAGCAACGCGAAGAACCUUACCAGGUCUUGACAUCCUCUGACAACCCUAGAGAUAGGGCUUUCCCUUCGGGGACAGAGUGACAGGUGGUGCAUGGUUGUCGUCAGCUCGUGUCGUGAGAUGUUGGGUUAAGUCCCGCAACGAGCGCAACCCUUGAUCUUAGUUGCCAGCAUUCAGUUGGGCACUCUAAGGUGACUGCCGGUGACAAACCGGAGGAAGGUGGGGAUGACGUCAAAUCAUCAUGCCCCUUAUGACCUGGGCUACACACGUGCUACAAUGGACAGAACAAAGGGCUGCGAGACCGCAAGGUUUAGCCAAUCCCACAAAUCUGUUCUCAGUUCGGAUCGCAGUCUGCAACUNGUCUGCACA
rnacentral:rRNA from 1 species